rnacentral:lncRNA from 1 species
AAACCUUAUACCGGAAUCUCCAUUUCAUUGACGAAUUUGCUGAAAAAUGUUGAAAAAUUGAAAAUCUGCACCGCGAGGGCCAACACAUCUUGGCCAACAAGUCUAGGGUCACCAACAGUGAUCUCACGCUACCCAAGGCAGCCCACAAGGCCCAAUUUACAUAAAAUCCCUUAGCUAUAUACUCUUUGCAUUUUACACAAAAAAAUG